rnacentral:rRNA from 1 species
UACGUAGGGUGCAAGCGUUGUCCGGAAUUAUUGGGCGUAAAGAGCUCGUAGGCGGUUUGUCGCGUCGGAUGUGAAAUCUCGGGGCUUAACCCCGGGCCUGCAUUCGAUACGGGCUGACUAGAGUUCGGCAGGGGAGACUGGAAUUCCUGGUGUAGCGGUGAAAUGCGCAGAUAUCAGGAGGAACACCGGUGGCGAAGGCGGGUCUCUGGGCCGAUACUGACGCUGAGGAGCGAAAGCGUGGGGAGCGAACAGG